rnacentral:rRNA from 1 species
UACGUAGGGUGCAAGCGUUGUCCGGAAUUAUUGGGCGUAAAGAGCUCGUAGGCGGUCUGUCACGUCGGACGUGAAAAUCCAGGGCUCAACCCUGGACCUGCGUUCGAUACGGGCAGACUAGAGUUCGGUAGGGGAGACUGGAAUUCCUGGUGUAGCGGUGAAAUGCGCAGAUAUCAGGAGGAACACCGGUGGCGAAGGCGGCCACCUGGACGGUGACUGACGCUGAGACGCGAAAGCGUGGGGAGCAAACAGG